rnacentral:lncRNA from 10 species
GGCAGGCAACGUGUUGGACCUUCCGGAGCUUCUCAGAAGACAGAGGGUUUUCUUUUGAGGAUUUAAACCUCAGACACAGGGAGCUGACCUAUUCACCUUAGAAUCCUCUGGGGCACCCAUUACAGUGUCUGUACCAAGGAGGCAACAAAGAACGGCGGAACAGACUGGAGCAGAAGGACCACCCAGCAGAGCCAAGCCAAAUCACUGACCCUCAGAGGCCUGAUGUGAAUGCUUAUGGCUUCAGUCCAUUGGAUUCUGCAGUAAUCUGCCGAUCUACAGUAUUACCACAGUAAAUAACCGAUAGACCUGAAAACGAAUGCAUGCCUUGUGCCAAAAUUGCAGGAAACCUCACCAGGAGAAACAAUUUUAUAUGAGGGAAUGUACUCUCUCCUUUGCAUUUUCCCUCAAAUCUAUAUUUUUAGCCCCUCACUUGUCUCUACAGAGCCUCAGUUGCUUAAUCUAAUUGCUGACUGAACAUCUCCAGGAAACUGUGUGUACGUGUUUGUAUUCAUAGUAUAUUUAUUUAUUAUCUGUUUACUUCCAUGGGAUAUAGUCUCCAUAAGAGAGUAGUCAUCAUUGUAUUUGUUGAUGCUUAAUAAAUAAUCAUUGAAUGGGC